UACGGAGGAUCCAAGCGUUAUCCGGAUUUAUUGGGUUUAAAGGGUGCGUAGGCGGAAUUGUAAGUCAGUGGUGAAAGCCCUUCGCUUAACGAAGGAACUGCCAUUGAUACUGCAAAUCUUGAGUACAUUUGAUGAGGGCGGAAUGUGUCAUGUAGCGGUGAAAUGCGUAGAUAUGCGGAGGAACACCGAUGGCGAAGGCAAUCCCCUGGGCCUGCACUGACGCUCAUGCACGAAAGCGUGGGGAGCAAACAGG
rnacentral:rRNA from 1 species